rnacentral:lncRNA from 1 species
CCGGGCGUUGGGAUCUUGGGGAUUAUAGACUGCGUCCCUAGUAGAGUAGGCCCGUCCGGGCGACCACGGGCGCUUGCACGGCGCGGCGCGGCACGGCUUUCGCUCCCAAACUCCCCUUCCGCAACCUCUGGCAGGGCACCCGAUCCCAGUCCCUGCAAUCGGUCGGCGAGCCGCUUGCUCUGCUGCAGCGCGCCCCAAUCUUUUUUUUGCCCAGCUCGGAUUCCUAGGCGGAUGCCGAGAUGGAGGCGAAGGAGACGCUGCAGCGCGCGCCCAAGGUCAGGUACUCAGGUAUGCCAUGUGGUUGCUUCCUUCCCUGUGUAGCAUCAGACUCUGCAUAUCGCGUAUUUAUCCUGUGAUAGUGGAGGAAUUUCGAAAAUGCUCGGAGGUUUUGGUAGAAGGGAACCAGUAACUUAAUCUAAUUCCACAGCCUUGAGAGAGGUUGCAGAAUAAAGGCCUAAUUCUUUAGCAGCAAUCUUAAGCAGACCACUUGUUUUAGGAAUGGUUUGGAACUUAAUGUACGGAAACCAAUUACUCCUAGUAGAUCACCGAGUACGCAUAUGGAAAAGGAUGCUUCAUGACUGAAAACUACUACUCGUACUCCGUACUUCUUCCGUUUCAUAAUUCUUGUCUCAAAUUUGCCCAAAAAUGGAUGUAUCUAUUCCUAACAAAUAUCUAGAUACAUGUAAUAUUUUGACAAGAAUUAUGGAACGAAGGGAAUACUAAACAAGCAAGAUUACAAACUGACAAGAAAAAUGACUAAAGUUGCAGUUUACAAACACGCAGUGACGACUCAGAUAAGCAAAUUACCGAACUCUGUCUAAGCAGAUGCAAAAAUAACUCGGUAUGCAUUUUCCUUUCACCGUCCAGAAACAAGGCUUGUUUCUGACAUCCCACCGGUAAAAUCAGAAUGGAAGGAGCUCCCCUCAUUCCUUUCUCCAGAAACCGUCCACUGGAGCCUUGGAAUUUCAAUAUCCAUGUAGUUUCUGCGUUGAGGGGUUGCAGAAGCAGACUGCUUUUCCCUUGAAACCGCUGGCAACCACACUUUGAGCCUUGAAACAACCUCGGUCAUGGUCGGCCUGUCAAUGGCCGCAUUUUCUACGCAGUUCAUGGCAAGGUCUAUGACACAAUGCAGGGAGCUUGCGUCGUACUGAUCCAUCAGCCUCUUGUCCACAACAUCAUGAACACUACCCGUAACAAUCUUUUGGCGCACCCAAUUUGGUAGGUGGACAGUUUGAGGGUCCAUCAGUACCGGGGAAUGGCCAGUGAUGAUCUCCAAUAGCACAAUGCCGAAGCUGUAAACAUCUGUCUUGACAGUGAGUUGGAAAGUUGCAUGGUACUCAGGAUCGAGGUAGCCAAGAGUGCCAGCAGCAACAGUAGAUAUGUGUGUAUGUGCUUCGUUAAAAGCCCGUGAAAGCCCAAAAUCAGAUAUUAUCCCCACCAGAUUCUUGUCCAGAAGGAUGUUAGCAGUCUUCACAUCUCUGUGAACUAUGGAUGGUGUGCACAACUCAUGUAGAUACUCCAGUCCUGUAAUUUAUAGAAACUCAUACUUUGCCAGCACACACAUACAUACAUGAAUUAAAGUUAAAUACGUUAUUGAAAUGUGGACCUUGUGCAGAAUCAAGUGCAAUAUGAAGUCGUUGUUCCCAACUCAAACUGUAGUCACCUCCUGCACCAAAACGUCCCAAAAAAUGUUGUGAGUGCCAUAUGAUAAUCACAUGCUCAUUUUAGCAUAAAUUCCCAUUUUUGUAAGUUGUGACAUAUGUAAGCCAACAAAUGAUGGUUAUGCACGCCAUGACUAAGCAUAUCAAUUGGUGCAUUAAGAUUUAAACCUUCUUAGAGAGGUCUAUGCUUUUCCUUCUCAUCAUCAGAGCAUUUUUUAUACACAAAUCAAGUUAACCAGACAACCAAGCCAUUGGAUUUUAAUAAGUUCCUCUAUAGUUGCUUUGUUUCUUACUGGCUUUGAAAGUUACAUGCUUAGAAUUUCUGACUAUCUUGUCAUGGUGACGUCUCAAAGAGUGUAACAGUAGUCCCUCCAAUUUGUUAUCCAAGUGUCUAUGACAAUUGCAAAAUUAUGGCUUAAGAAUGUGCAGCUCCAAGAAUACAGCUAUGGUGGCCUCACUUGUUAAUCAAAUUUCGAAUGCCGAUACAGGUUACAUAGUAAAUUAGAUCCACCAUCUCAGCUGUAUUAACUAGCAGCAGUGAUAACAGUCUAGGCAAUCAACUACACCUUUAACAAGGAAAUCCAGUUUUAACAAGAAAUCAUGUUUACAGUAGAAUGUCAAAGCCGGAGUAGUUUGACUUCAGAGUUUCUUUCUAUACUUGGGACUAGGUCCUUUCAAUUUUGUAUUAUUCUGAGAAACACAAUCCGAUGUUAACAUUUGGGAAGUAGGUGGCCCACAAGUGGUUACUGAAAGCUGUUGGCCUCUGGGUCUUUGAUUCUUUGCGUUGUUGACUUGUUGUUGGUUUCGAAGCAAGUAAAACCUGAAUUGGUCAACUUCCCUUUUAGAUCGAGCUGAUUGCAGGUUUCAUUUAAUGAUUCAAUUUUGUUCAGUUAAAUUACAAUGGUCUGUAAACAUGGGAUCACAAUUCAGUGAUCAUAAAAAACUCCAAGUUGGAUUGGUUAUACCUAAGCCAACUACGCUUGAUAGAAUUUUUAAGAUAAGUUAAGAGAAAAACCUUCUCUCAGAAGCUGCUGAAGAUUUCCUCUGGGCAUGAAGUCAUAAACAAGUGCUAGGCACUUCUUGUUUUGGCAAUAUCCUUCCAAAGUCACAAGAUUCUUGUGAUGAACUUUUGACAAGGUUUGCACCUGCAGCAACAGUUAUGGUUACCAAACAUCCUAGAGAUGAAGCCAACUGCAUUUUUUUUAAUAUGGACUGCGGAAAGGGUUUAUGAUGUCUUGCAGACAUAUAGUUUACUUUUUUAUUGAAGAAAGCAAUGAUUUGGCCUAGUUGGUUUUGUGGUAUACCUCAGGGAGGAAGUCUGUCGACUCUGCUAUUGAUGUCUCCAUAAGCACCUUAACAGCUACUUCAUCACCAUUUCCCAGUAUGCCAUGAUAAACAGUUCCGAAACCUCCUUUUCCAAUGAUUGAUUGGAAGUCUUUUGUU